AGAGUUUGAUCCUGGCUCAGAACGAACGCUGGCGGCGUGCUUAACACAUGCAAGUCGAACGAGAAAUCCCGGGCAACUGGGAGAGUAAAGUGGCGCACGGGUGAGUAACGCGUGGGUAACCUACCCUUGAAUUGGGGAUAACUCCGCGAAAGCGGGGCUAAUACCGAAUAAUAUCUCGGGGUCUUCGGGCCUUGGGAUCAAAGAUGGCCUCUGCAUGCAAGCUAUCGUUUAAGGAUGGGCCCGCGUACCAUUAGCUUGUUGGUAGGGUAAUGGCCUACCAAGGCAACGAUGGUUAGCUGGUCUGAGAGGAUGGCCAGCCACACUGGAACUGAGAUACGGUCCAGACUCCUACGGGAGGCAGCAGUGGGGAAUCUUGCGCAAUGGGGGAAACCCUGACGCAGCAACGCCGCGUGGGUGAUGAAGGCCUUCGGGUCGUAAAGCCCUGUCAGGUGGGAAGAACCUCGUCGGUGCCAAUACCACCGACGCUUGACGGUACCACCGGAGGAAGCACCGGCUAACUCCGUGCCAGCAGCCGCGGUAAUACGGAGGGUGCAAGCGUUGUUCGGAAUUAUUGGGCGUAAAGCGCGUGUAGGUGGUCGGGUAAGUCAGAUGUGAAAGCCCUCGGCUUAACUGGGGAAGUGCAUUUGAGACUGCUCGGCUGGAGUUCGGAAGAGGAGAGUGGAAUUCCCGGUGUAGAGGUGAAAUUCGUAGAUAUCGGGAGGAACACCGGUGGCGAAGGCGGCUCUCUGGUCCGAUACUGACGCUGAGACGCGAAAGCGUGGGGAGCAAACAGGAUUAGA
rnacentral:rRNA from 1 species